rnacentral:lncRNA from 1 species
CGUAAAACAGUGAGAUCCCAGCGCCUCGGGCUCCAUCGGAACCCCCGCCCGGGGCCCAGCCGCCCACGGCAGGAGCCGCGCCCGCCGCCUGCCGGCCCGGCCCGGCCUCGCCGCCCAGGAGGGGCACGGGGUGUAGGGGGGAAAGUGUUCCUUUUUUCUGGCAUCGCAAGAUCCAGUUCACGGACUGUGUUUCUGUCAGAGCAGUCCCGAGUCCUCGGCAUUAAAAAGCUGCCUGGGGCCGGGGAGCGUGGCUGGGGUCUGCUGAGCCACCUCCUGUCCCAGCCAGGCUGCCAGCCUUUGGCAUGUGUCUCUGGGCACCCUUCAGCAGGAGGAAACUCAGCGACACCUUGGGAUGUAACCAGAGUGAGCACCAGCAGCUGCUGCCCCCUUCUCCCUCAGUGUGAGGAAAAGUUGCAUUUUAUCCUGAAGGCUGCUGCUGCGAGAGAGGCCUUCACAACUACACAGCAGCUGAACAAAAAAGGCCAGAAAUAACCAUUAGUGUAUGGCUAAGAUUUCAAACCCAGUGGCAAACAUCAGUAAGGAUGGCAAACUAGUCUGCAUAAAUCAUGUACCAUCUCAAGAAUGCUCCGUUCUGCACUAUGUUCUGAAAGUUCCCAGGGCGAAGUAUUUCUCGCUAUGGAUAAACGCAUGAAGUGUUGGAAAGUUAAUCCAGUAACAGUUCCUGCACCGACCGUGUUGCUCAAAGAAUAUUUGCAGUUGGAGGAUUAACAUGGGACUCAUUUAAUUUUAGUACUGAUUUAUCAUCAGAAAGAAUUAUUGUGUAAACAUUAAAUAAUUGAUUUAAACAUUAACAAUAAAGUACUUCUGACGACAAACCA